UACGUAGGUGGCAAGCGUUGUCCGGAUUUAUUGGGUUUAAAGGGUGCGUAGGCGGUUCCAUAAGUCAGUGGUGAAAUACGGCAGCUUAACUGUCGAGGUGCCAUUGAUACUGCGGGACUUGAGUACAGACGAGGUAGGCGGAAUUGACGGUGUAGCGGUGAAAUGCUUAGAUAUCGUCAAGAACACCGAUAGCGAAGGCAGCUCACUAGGCCUGGAUUGACGCUCAUGGACGAAAGCGUGGGGAGCAAACAGGAUUAGAAACCCUUGUAGU
rnacentral:rRNA from 1 species